rnacentral:rRNA from 1 species
UGGGGAAUAUUGCACAAUGGGCGCAAGCCUGAUGCAGCCAUGCCGCGUGUAUGAAGAAGGCCUUCGGGUUGUAAAGUACUUUCAGUCGGGAGGAAGGUGUCAAGGUUAAUAACCUUGGCAAUUGACGUUACCGACAGAAGAAGCACCGGCUAACUCCGUGCCAGCAGCCGCGGUAAUACGGAGGGUGCAAGCGUUAAUCGGAAUUACUGGGCGUAAAGCGCACGCAGGCGGUUGAUUGAGUCAGAUGUGAAAUCCCCGGGCUUAACCCGGGAAUUGCAUCUGAUACUGGUCAGCUAGAGUCUUGUAGAGGGGGGUAGAAUUCCAUGUGUAGCGGUGAAAUGCAUAGAGAUGUGGAGGAAUACCGGUGGCGAAGGCGGCCCCCUGGACAAAGACUGACGCUCAGGUGCGAAAGCGUGGGGAGCAAACAGG